UGAGCAACCUGCCCCUCUCUCUGGGAUAACCCCGGGAAACCGGAGCUAAUACCGGAUACUCCGGCUGGAUCGCAUGGUCCGGCCGGGAAAGGUCCGCCGGAGAGGGAUGGGCCCGCGGCCUAUCAGCUUGUUGGUGGGGUCAUGGCUCACCAAGGCGACGACGGGUAGCUGGUCUGAGAGGGUGACCGGCCACACUGGGACUGAGACACGGCCAGACUCCUACGG
rnacentral:rRNA from 1 species